rnacentral:lncRNA from 1 species
UAAAGACUUGUUCGGGAGGCGCGAUUUUUUUAAUUCCGCUCGAUCUUGAAAAGGUCAAAACUCAAAAGGGGGUUUGUACUUUGUACGCGCCAAAGAUUGUUCAUACUACUUUCAGCACAUUACCGUAGCCUAGUUUUGUCAGCAGUUGGCACGGUACUCGGUCACUCACUCACUCGUGGCUACCACACGCAAUAAACAGUAUUUUUAAAGCCUAAUCAAGCCCUCCAAAUGCGGAAACCCCCCUAAUAACGCUCAUAAUUGCCAAUCAAUCCCACUCCUCCCCUUAUAAAUCCUCUG